rnacentral:sRNA from 1 species
AUCGAGGUUUGCACAAACAACUGACGAGGAAGGACGUCCAGAUGGUUGGAUUCCAUUUCAUCAAGAUGAGAUUUCAAGUUUCUGAUAAUGGUUUCGAUUUCCCUGUGCCAGACUUCUCCUUGUUCCUUCAGCUCUGUUAUUAAUCUCUCGGAGUUUUUCAUCAGAUCAGCUUUUUGCAUGGAGAUGUUAGAUGCAAUAUCUAUAUACUGAGGAUAAAUGAAUUUCAAUAAUUCUUGCAAAUCUGUCUGUAACACUUCUUUGUUUCUUUCAUAAAUUUCUGAGAUAUCAAUUUGUUUAUGACCCAAAUGUUCUCCAGUAUUACACUGUGUACAAAUAGGGUUAUCACACUGUUCACAGUGGAGUUCACAUUGUUUGUUGGGAUGUUUCUUACACUUGGCAUAAUUCAAAGUUGUACUGACUUGUUUAAGUGACACCACAUUGUGAACUUAAGAGGAAUCAUAUAAAUGUUUCUGUACACAGUCUUUACACAGAUGUAUAUGACAAACUUUACAGUACAUAGGGGCCUCAGUGGUUUGCACAGUGUGCAGCGUACAACAUCCUUGGCGCUGUUCCAAGGGUCCAUUUCCAGUAGAUUUUUAAUAAGGAAUAUGGUCAGUAUUGUUAGAUCUGGAAAGUAAAAUGUAGUAUGUAUUAUUCAUAUAAACAUGUUUUAUCUUGGUUAGAUGAACAUUUUUGUAUAUAACAUAUAAAUAUUCUAUAUGUACUUCAAACGCAAUUUGUACAUUAUCGUCGAUAGUAUUUUAAAUAAAAGACAUUAUGUUCCAUACCUUUGAUAGGCUAUGUUUAUUAAUUAAUAUAUGUUUAUUAUGAAAUUCAUUUCAAUUUACGUUUGAUUCUAUACUUAUUAAAAAUAAAUAUUUACAUUUU